CUCGUCCUUGGUCAGACACCUGGGACCUUGGAUAGCUCCUUGCCUGAUCUCUUGUGCAAUCCUUAGUUAAACCUAGUUUUCUGCUGAACUCUUUGCUCCUCUCCUGAGCUUCCUAUUUAAGCCAUGCCUCUGCACUUCCUGU